rnacentral:misc_RNA from 1 species
CUGAGUUGCAAAACUCUCAACCCUUCUGUGAACCUACCUCUGUUGGCAUGUCCCAAGUUGUUUCGGCGGGUGCCUCCUGCAGGUGCCCGCCGGCGGCCUGGGAUAUUUAUUAUAUUCUAUGUUUUUUAGUGGUUAUACUCUGAGUAUCAUACAAAAUAAGUCA